ACAUCGCCUCUUGCUAAAAUAUAAGAGGUCCAGCCUGCCCAGUGACCCAGUUCAACGGCCGCGGUAUCCUGACCGCGCGAAGGUAGCGUAAUCACUUGUUCUUUAAAUGGGGACUAGUAUGAAUGGCAUCACGAGGGUUGAACUGUCUCCUUUCUCUAAUCAGUGAAACUAAUCUCCCCGUGAAGAAGCGGGAAUCAUUUUAUAAGACGAGAAGACCCUAUGGAGCUUAAAACAAAUUGACAUCUGCUUCCGCCUACUUCAAUUCCUGAACAAACAUACAAAAUAUAGCAUAAUUGAUCAAUAGUUUUAGAUUGGGGUGAUCAUGGAGCAAAAAACAACCUCCACGACGAAAAGGAAUAUCCCCUGAGCCAAAAGCCACAACUUUAAGCACUAAAAAAUUAACGCAUCUUGAC
rnacentral:rRNA from 1 species